AAGCAGAGUGCUGACCUUACUCGUGGCCUGUGACCCUGGCAUUUGGCCAGCCAUUGUCACCCAGGGACCAGGAGAUAGAAUGCUGGCUGUGCAAAACCUCCAAGGUAAGGGAUUUCUUCCCCUCCGAGUUACAAGGUGAAGCCAUUUGGAAGAGCAGUUGAAAGGGGUCCUGGGCUGUGCCUACUGCUCAUAUCCAGUACUAAGAAAUAACAAAUCGUCUGGGAGGAGCAGUGGAGCUGUGGAGUCAGGGCUGUGUCUCUUGUGUUUGUGAGUCCAGCAGACAUGACCUGCUCUGUCCUCAAGCCACUUUCCAACGAUCAUCAGGAGGACACUUCCAGCACUGGUCUACAGCGAAAUGUUCUUUUACUCUCAACCCACAAUUCCCAACCCUUCUCCCAGCUGAAAGUACUGGUUAAGCUUUGUAUAAAUUCUUCAGGCAUUUUCCUGUUCAUUUACAAAAGUACUCUAUUUUAUCAUUCUCUCCAUCUUGAUGAUUACCUCACCCUAUUCAGUCAGAAAUAUAUCUCAGAAAUAUAUAUAUCAGUCAGAAAUAUAUCUCAAUAUAUAAAAUUUUUGACUUCUUUUUCCAUUUGUAUUUGUACACUCAGAGCAUUGCUUUCAACUGCUGUAUACAAUUCUAUCAUAUAGGUAUGCUACACUUUAUCUAAACAUUCCUUAUUGGUGCAGAUUUAUCUUGCUUUCAGUUUUUCACUAGUUCAUCAGUUAAGAUGCAGUUAACAACCCUUUUUCAGAGAGCUAUU
rnacentral:lncRNA from 1 species